UGGGGCCCGUUCUGGCGGGAGUUUGAAGGCAAAAAGCGGCUCUUUCAAAUGAGACCAAGAUGUCCGCGCUAGCACACGUGGAAGAGCAGGCGCGCGUUUCGGAAAAUGUGCCGUUUCAGCGUCAGUUUAGCCUGAAAUUCAGCUAGUACAUUUAGCUAGUUCAA
rnacentral:lncRNA from 1 species